GUAUAGAAUAUGGACGGCACUCCAGUACAGCAUGUGCAUGGAUGGAUCUGUUGACAUUUUUAGAAACGCAUCUUGGUCUAUUAUACAGAGUAUUGUUGUACUGCUCCAAAGUGCUUGUUGACAGACUGAAACCACUUGCUUGCAGCUCAUAAGGUUUACUUCUUGAGAGCAGGCAGCUACAAAAUGGAAGGUCAACAAAUCCAGUAUACUUGAAAAGCAAGAAAGAAACACCAGAAAAUAUGAAAAGACAGAAAUACAAAGGAACUUGAAUAAACAA